GAUGAACGCUGGCGGCGUGCUUAACACAUGCAAGUCGAACGGAAAGGCCCCAGCUUGCUGGGGUACUCGAGUGGCGAACGGGUGAGUAACACGUGGGUGAUCUGCCCUGCACUUUGGGAUAAGCUUGGGAAACUGGGUCUAAUACCGAAUAUGACCACUUCUUGGAUGUUGUGGUGGAAAGCUUUUGCGGUGUGGGAUGAGCCCGCGGCCUAUCAGCUUGUUGGUGGGGUAAUGGCCUACCAAGGCGGCGACGGGUAUCCGGCCUGAGAGGGUGUACGGACACAUUGGGACUGAGAUACAGCCCAGACUCCUACGGGAGGCAGCAGUGGGGAAUAUUGCACAAUGGGCGCAAGCCUGAUGCAGCGACGCCGCGUGGGGGAUGAAGGCCUUCGGGUUGUAAACUCCUUUCGCUAUCGACGAAGCCACUUGUGGUGACGGUAGGUAGAUAAGAAGCACCGGCUAACUACGUGCCAGCCGCCGCGGUAA
rnacentral:rRNA from 1 species